rnacentral:lncRNA from 9 species
CACAUCAUAAUCCCACUUGCUGUCAUUCCAGAAACGUACAGCUUCACCAGAUGGGCUCGUGGCAAAGUGGGAAAAGAUAUGUACAAGCACGACUACAGCUCAGUGGGGAGCAAACUGCUGGAACAAUUUUUACAUACAAAGCCCAACAAAAAGAACAGGGAAGAAGCACCCGGGACAUCACAGCUUGAAGAGAUGUCCUUCCACGAAAACUCACUCUGCGAUGUGUCGUCCUUUACACGCAACGACAGAUUCCACCUCAUGGAUCUCAAAAGCUCUGCUCUGGGAGAGAAAAACCAACAUCUUCAAACUGUAGUAGCUAGAGAGUUAUAAAAAAUUUUCUUUGUUUUAAAUUUAAAAUUCCAAGUGUUCUUUUAUGUCAGUUCAGUUGCCUAAGAAAUCUGCUCAGAGGGAGCAAUGAAAAGUGUUAAGUUUCUCGUUGAUUGUUUUGCUUAGGUUUGUUUGUCUGAUUGGUUGGUUGGUGGAUUAUUGGUUUUGG